UUUGUUUCUCUUCUGAUGUCUACGUGGGAUAUUGCCCAUUGAUUCUCCGUGCUUCCUUCAUCAUAGAUGCCAUGGACAUUGACGUAUAUUCACACUAGAGUGCAGACUCACUGCAUGAAGAAAGCCUAAAGAGUCAGAUACACACAGACCAUUGUAUCUAUUCCGGAUUGAAGCAAACAGAUCACAUGCUGAUAUUUCCCUAUGGAUGAGGGUUCGAGAGCCACAUGGAGAUGCCGUAGGAGGGAGGGCAGGAAGCAUGGAAGAAGGUUCAAAAACACGGAGUCUCAGAAAUGGGAAGACCCCACAAAACACGGGGUCAUGGAGGAAGUAAAAAAUACCAUCAUGAAUAUUUCCUCCAAGGAAUUCUCCACUGGACAAUUAGAAUUAUUAAACAAAGGACUGCG